rnacentral:lncRNA from 1 species
UACAAUCGAGCCGGUGCCGUCCUGUGAUCCUGAGAAAACUUGAAACGUAUAACACAAAACUCUGUAAGCACGAAGCUUAGUGAGUUCCCCAAAAUACCACUCUAACACAUAUUAGCCACUCAAGGCUAUAGCUCUGUUGACCCUCUGGUCAGUGUGUCUCAUUGGACCCUCGAGUCCCAACUCUCUAUGGACCCUUUGGCCCUAACUCUAUGGACCCAAAGGUUCUAACUCUGAUAACUCUGAAUCAUGCAUAUCGCAUAUCACAAUAAAUCUCAUAAAAUAAUUAGCAUACAAAUACAAUGGCACAUAACUCUAAACCUAACUCUAUAGACCCUCUGGUUCUAGCCCUGUAGACCUUCCGGUCUUAACUCUGAUAUACACACAACAUAAGUCACAUAGAAAUAAUGCAGUGCCACACAUCGUAUAGAUAGCACACAAUAACUCUGUCACAUAACUUUGUUACCACUCUAGGUAAAGUAUAGUGAAAAGACUCACCUCAAACGAAGUUGGAUGAACUCUCGUGCUCAACGUCCCGACCUGGCCUCCUCCUAUUAUUCAAAUAAAAUUACCGAUCAACACUCUCUCAUUGUCUCAGCUCUAAAGAUUGGAUAGAAGACCAUUCUACCCUUCCCUAAACUCUCUUAAGUCAGUCUUGACCAAAACCCUAAAGUCAACGAAAGUUCACGGUCAAACUUUGACCCGACUCGUAGAGUGCACAUGGGCGACUCGGCGAGUCCACACAUGGCCACGAAAUCUUCCUUCUAGCCUCGCUUGACACGUCGAGCCAACCCCUUGCUCGAUGAGUUACGCCUGGUAUGAGUCACGGGGCAACCCCGACUCGACUCGUCGAGUCCUCUCACGAACUCGGCGAGUUGCUCCCAUGAUAACACUCAUAUGGCUUUCUGAGGUCAGAUCCGUUCCUCUAAUCCAUAGAUCUGACUUCCCUAGUACCAAUAACCACGAAAAGGUCGAAUCUUGGUACACAUGCAAGGCUCUCUAUGCUAAUUUUGGUGAAAUCCUUCAUAUCAUGACAACCCUAGAUCAUUAUUCCAAGGAAAAGGCAUAAAGCAGAAUGGAAGGGAUUCUCUGGACCUCUCAAGGUCCAGAUCUAAGAAUCAUUUCACCAUGGGACCUCUCAUACUCUAGAUUCAAGCUAAAUAAAGCAUGAAGAAACCCUAGAUUCAUGAAAUCAAACGAAGAUGGACAUGAAUCCUUACCUCUCACAGCAGCUCUAAACGAAAUGAUGGAAGAUUUGAGUCCCACAAGACAGCCCAACUCGAAAUCCUUCCUUCCCUUUGCUAUGACACCCCAAAGUAUGAUGAAUUAGCCCUCCUCUUGCACCACAAGCUUCCUCUCUGCUCUCUAUGGUUUCUCAAGGUGUAGUGGCCACAAAUAAAGCCCAUAAGGACCUUUAAAUAGGUCCCAAACCCGAGAAAUUGGGGUUUCUCUGCCCAUCACCUACUCGGCGAGUCGCUCCUCUGAAUCGUCGAGUCCACUCAUUAAAUCGGCGUGAAAAACCCGACUCGUUUCGGCGAGUUGGAUCCUCAACUCAUCGAGUCUCUCCUUUAAUCAAAAGAUUAAACUACACAAUAAUAACCCUGAAAACCCGGAUGUUACAAUUCUCCCCCACUUGAAUUAGAUUUCGCCCUCAAAAUCAUUCCUUAACCACACAGAGAUUUAAUCAUUAACCCGAAAGGCACUACCGAAAUGAUCUUCAUACCACACUGAUAUCUUUCUCUAUCGACAUCCGAAACCACAUAGAACCUCCAAAACUAGAGUUUAAACCAAAUCUUUCGCCGCUAAAAAUACCCUUCCCAAUAACCGGAAACUCUAGUGGCCUGAUCCGCCGUCAGACCGCCUACUUGAGUGAUCACCAUGAUUUUUGCUCCUCGAAUAUCAACCCAGUUUCCUCACUGGCUCUCUGAUUCCCAUAAGACCAUGUCCAAAAACCGGCUAUCUCUCCUCCAAGCCGAUCAUGCUAAAACAUAUGAAUCACGCCCCACGAAUAAAAGGGUUCACACUCCACCGGGGCACAUCUACUAGACUGCUAUUAGAAACCCUCCGAACAAAAAAUCCCCAACACUCUGUCCUUAGACACAAAAGCAUAAGCAUGCUCGAUCAGAAGUGUCCUCAAACAUCCCAUUUAUAAGCCUCAGCUCCAAAUUCCAUAUCUCUUUUAACACCACACGAGGUCUGACUGUCGUUUAUCCGCAUAACUCUUCUAACGGCUCUGGGCCGUCAGCAACCACUGCCUGACAUGCUGAAUCUGCUCGGUCGUCUAAAGCACCAUCUCCGUGAUGGGUCUUAUCCAAAAGACAUCCUAUGUGCUCAUGCAAACCCUAAUGCUUGGAUCUAGGUUUCUCUAUUGUAUAUGCUUUUAAUCCAAGACUUAAAACCCUAGAUCUAAUCAAUAUAACAUAUGAAAUAGGGUUUAGAUCAUACCUUGAUUGUUAUAUAGCAAUAACAAUCUCAAAUCCUUCUUGUAUUGACUUUAGAAAGCUUUGAGUCACAAAUGUCACUCCUCUAAUGGUUCACAAACACCAAGAGCAAGAGGAUGAAGAGGAGAAGAGAAGGAGGCUGCCCAAAACGUGUGGAAACCCUAACCAAUUAGUUCACCACGUUUUUGAGGCUUAAGGGUACUAUUUAUACAUGUAGGCUAUGAGGGUUUUGAACUAGGAAACCCUAAUUGGGAUGCUUAGGCCCUAAGCAACCCAUGGACCCUUCUUUAAUAAGCCUUGGACGAUUUCUAAUGGGUUUCCCCAUAGAAUUCGUCCAACCUUAUAUUAUAAGGUAAUCCAUAGCCCAAUUGCAAUUAUCUUAUAAUUACAAUUCCAGUCCCUUAAGUUUAAUUAAUCUCUUUUAGUCACAAACUUAAUUCUUAUUAAUUCUUGACUAAUAUUAAUUAAACAAUAUGAUCCCCAGCAAAUGGGAGUCCGACACCUCCUCCCAUACAACAACUCAAAGAGUGACAUACCAAUGCUCGAAUGAUGGCUGUUGUUAUAGGAAAACUCAGCUAAGGGUAUGUAUGUGUCCCAACUCCCUCCGAAAUCCAAUACACAUGCCCGAAGCAUGUCCUUGAGCAUCUGAAUCGUCCGCUCGCUCUGCCCGUCAGUCUGUGGGUGGUAGGCGGCAUUAAAAUGCAACCUUGUGCCCAACUCCUCAUGGAAUUUCUUCCAGAAUCUGGAAGUGAAACGUACAUCUCGAUCUGAGACAAUCGAGAUCGGUACUCCGUGCUGCGAUACCACCUCCCUCACAUACAACUCUGUCAGGCUCUCCGCAGAAGAGCUCCCCCUGACUUCCUCUUCGCAUCAACUAACUCGACCCUAUGACACACAAGUCACAAAAUUCUCAAAUGAAAACUACAAUCCAACCGAAAAUCGACUUAGCCUUGACAAAGACGAAGACCCCAGUCUCACCCCUGGUUCAACCACCAUGCUCCAAAAACUCAAUACUAGGGCUAUGCAAGCCUAAAACUCUUAUGCAUCAUAUACUGAUCGGAGAACACUCCAUCAUCACACUCUCUUUCCGUCUAGUGAGUACUAUGGCUCCCCGCAACAUCAUGACAACCUCUGACUAGUGAGUACUACGGCUCCCCGUAGCACCACAACACCAAAUGACUAGUGAGUACUAUGGCUCCCCGCAGUACCACGACUCCCUCUCUCUGACUUGUGAGUACUACGGCUCCCCGUAGCAUCACAACACCGUCUGACUAGUGAAUACUACGGCUCCCCGUAGCUUCACCCCAUACUCUCAUUCUCAUCACAAUUACGUCCACUAUCUUAUGCGCCGUAGACUAUCAUAGAUAGCUACACAUACUUGUCCCACAUAUGCAUCAUAGACUCUGGCGGCAACCGCUAUAACAAAAUACCUACCUCUGCGGAGAUCCACUUUCUUAAUUAAUCCCUCUUGAUGUCAAUACCCGAAGGGCUCCCACUGGAACCGUAGAUACAUGAUACACCACUAGUCGUCUCAAACUCAAGAUUCUAAAUAACUCUGAAAUCGGAACAUUAUACCCGGGUACCACGGAACACCAUUACAGAACAUCAUGAUGUCCUGCCUCAACCACUGAUCUCCUACUCCCAGCACCAUACAGAUACAACAAUACAUUUCCUCUGAACCCCAUAAAUAAUUCUUCAUUUUACCCAAUGCGCAAAUUCAGUGUAUCCAAACACUCAAUUGCAAUACAAAGAAAGCGCUAACGCUUCAGAACACGCUGACGAUCCUCCGAAACGCUUUCCCCUACUACUCAAAAUCCAAGCAAGAAUACACAUGCCAACCCGGGAGUUGGCUGCUCAAUAAUCUUCUAUCCACCCCCAAAAGGGGCAUAUACAAUCCAUACUUCGACCUAGAAGUUCUCAACUAUCCAUAUCAUUAUUACGAGUCUUCCACUUGAAACGGCCCUGACCACCACCAGAUUCAUGACCAUUGGCCACCUGCCGUGGAGACACCCAUCCUUUCUCAGACACAUACCACAUGCAUUAUCUCUUUCUUCACCUUUCCUUGAUCACCNNNNNNNNNNNNNNNNNNNNNNNNNNNNNNNNNNNNNNNNNNNNNNNNNNNNNNNNNNNNNNNNNNNNNNNNNNNNNNNNNNNNNNNNNNNNNNNNNNNNNNNAAUAAAAUACCCGGUUCUCCCCCACUUAGGGUUCGAACCAUCACCAAUUGACGCAUCAACACUCUACCCCACAGACGGUUUCCUCCAGAAACAUCGCACCUACGCUUGGAAGGUGCCACACAACGCCCAAUGAUCUCCCCAUGUAGAGAUCAAGAAACCUCAAAUACCCUAAAUCUCCGAAGAAAUCCUCAGGAACUUUUCAUCACGACUGCCUCUAGCCACUCGAAGUCUCAUACCAUCCCAAUACUGAACAUCCUAACUGUCUAGUACUAUCACUGACUCUUAGACUGAAACAAUAAACCAUCAUACUCCUCAUCCUCGACUUCUCAACCCCUGCUCCAACACGUGAAUCAUCACGAUAAUAGGGACUCCACUACCAUACUCAAUACCCAUCAUAUACAGAAGAGCCACCGCUCUGAUAUACUCGACUGGAUUACCCGCUGAUACAGCUACCACACGCCCUACUAUACUCAAUUAGGGUGUAAUGUGGUGCUUGACCAUCUCAGUCCCCACUGACUACCUGCUCAUGGUAGAUCAUUUCCUUGCGGCAGACAUGCUGCCUAAUACUCUGGUGGAAAAAAAUCGUCAUAAAUUUCAACCCGUAGGGUUUACUCCUAAACCCAAAACUGAAAUCUCACACCUCUCCUACUUCCGAUAGGAAACAUAAAUAGCACCCAACAAGUCAAAGAAGGUGACAUCUCCUCCAUCGGCUGAUUGCUCACUCAUAUCGCAAUCCCCCAUAAAUGCCUUCUCUACUAAUCCCUGAGUCUUGCGACUACAUCUGACAUCUUACCAAGGUACUUUGAAAUGCUCUUGACCUCCCUCUCAAGGGAUGCCUCUUCGGAUUCAAUCAUGACCCUCAGGACUAAAACCCCAUCGCAUCCAAACUCCACCAAUCAAUCCUGAUCGGACAACCGGAGAAUCGCAAGCAUCAUUUGCUAAGAACCAUGGUACUCAGCCCCUGACAUCUCUUCUCAAUCUGCUACAAUGCAUGGCACUCGAAUUAUAACAUCACCUCUCAAUCUGCUAAGAUGCAUGGUACUCGAACCAUGGCAUCACUUCCCAAUCUGCUCCAAUGUAUGGUACUCGAACCAUAACAUCACUCCUCAAUCUGCUCCGAUGUAUGGUACUCGAACCAUAACAUCAUUCCCUAAUCUGCUCCGACGUAUGGUACUCGAACCAUAACAUGACUCCCCAAUUUGCUUCGAUGUAUGGUACUCGAACCAUAACAUCACUCCCCAAUCUACUACUUAGAACCUUUAGAAUGCUCCCUGUAUUGAGUAUGGGUCCUCUGCUUUAGGUAGUACGGGCCCAUACUACCUGCCACAUCUACCCAUACUUUCCACACGGACCAUUCCAGAGCUCCUAAGUAGCUGAUCAACCUUCUCGUUUACUAAUUCCGCCACGCGUGCUCACGCCUCAGCGAAUGCUCUACUCCGCCAGUGUACUCAUCUGGCUAAGGUUACUCCCUAUGCUCUUCCUUGGUCCUCCCACUUCUCCGCCAUCAGCUGCUGAAAAGCUCCCAAUGAUGCCAGCCAUCUACCUCCUGAAUAUCGUUAUAUUCACUCGGUAGCUGACUCCCAUCAUCGAGAGUUCCACAAAGCACGAAGCAAGCAGCAUUCGGGCAUCGAAGAAUACAUAGAACUAACUUUGGGUGAUAACUCCGCUUGCUCUGCUCAUUCUCCAAAGUACCACCGAACUCUACAACUCUACCCCUCGCGGGUUCUAACUAUUCUCUCGAUAAGCACCACAAUACUCAUCUAGGCGUCUCUCCUAGAUUACUUUUCUACUCAAAUCCCCCAAAAGGGCUCCAAUUGAAUACUCUUGCUCAUACUCAAAAGCGCAUCACAUAUAACAACAACUCCUAGGCUAAGGCAUCACAAAUCAGGCCACUCUAGUCCUAAGAUAUGAAAUACCUAGCCUGUCUCUAGCACACAUAAUAUCUCAUAAAAUGUAUCAUAAAUAUCUCAUAACACAAAAGUAAGGGUAUUUUGGGAAAACACCAUUCGGGCUCUGGCUGAUUGUACACACUUCUCUUUCUCACUUCCUCUUUGAACUCUUAUUCACUUUUAGAAAAUCAGUUCUUUGAACACUUUUCUUACUUCCUCAGUUUGGGUCUAGAUUUACCCGAAGGUGCAUCCGAAUCCCUCAAACCAAGGCUCUGAUACCAACUUGUAAUACCGAAAUUUUCAAAACAAAAUUUUCAUUUAAAUUCACUUAUCUCUUUAACACUUUUCAUAAAAAUCUCAUUUUUAUUUAAAUUAAAAAUCAUGACUCUUUUGUUCAAUCAAUUAAUAAACCAGGAUCCUCCAAAACAAACGCUUCCUCUGGUGUAUACAAUCGAGCCGGUGCCGUCCUGUGAUCCUGAGAAAACUUGAAACGUAUAACACAAAACUCUGUAAGCACGAAGCUUAGUGAGUUCCCCAAAAUACCACUCUAACACAUAUUAGCCACUCAAGGCUAUAGCUCUGUUGACCCUCUGGUCAGUGUGUCUCAUUGGACCCUCGAGUCCCAACUCUCUAUGGACCAUUUGGCCCUAACUCUAUGGACCCAAAGGUCCUAACUAUGAUAACUUUGAAUCAUGCAUAUCGCACAUCACAAUAAAUCUCAUAAAAUAAUUAGCAUACAAAUACACUGGCACAUAACUCUA